CCUACGGGAGGCAGCAGUGAGGAAUAUUGGUCAAUGGGCGGGAGCCUGAACCAGCCAAGCCGCGUGAGGGAAGAAGGUACAGCGUAUCGUAAACCUCUUUUGUCAGGGAACAAAGGCGGGGACUAGUCCCCGGAUGAGGGUACCUGAAGAAAAAGCAUCGGCUAACUCCGUGCCAGCCGCCGCGGUAAUACGGAGGAUGCGAGCGUUAUCCGGAUUUAUUGGGUUGAAAGGGUGCGCAGGCGGCCUGUUAAGUCAGCGGUAAAAGCCCGGGGCUCAACCCCGGCGAGCCGUUGAAACUGGGGGGCUGGAGUUGGAGAGAGGUGCGCGGAAUGCGCGGUGUAGCGGUGAAAUGCUUAGAUAUCGCGCAGAACCCCGAUUGCGAAGGCAGCGCACCGGCUCCACACUGACGCUGAGGCACGAAAGCGUGGGUAUCGAACAGGAUUAGAUACCCUUGUAGUC
rnacentral:rRNA from 1 species